GUGUCUGUGUGGUUGUGUGUGUGAAUUUGUGUACUGUUUCUAGAGAAAGAGUUACUUCUCAAAAGACAGUGUGAAUGCUGUUUUCUGUUAUGUGUUACUGUGCUCUUUGCAUCAAUGUGCUAUAGUUAGUCACAAGAUUGAUUGCUGCUGGAGCAGAUGUCAAUAGCAAAGAAAGAGGGGAAGCUGAGAAGUCAACAUUACAAGGGCACACAGCUCGAUGUUUGGAAAGCAGUGUAUUGUCAUAUAGAGGAG